rnacentral:rRNA from 1 species
UACAGAGGGGGCAAGCGUUGUUCGGAAUUACUGGGCGUAAAGGGCGCGUAGGCGGCCUGCUAAGUCGAACGUGAAAUCCCUGGGCUCAACCCAGGAACUGCGUCCGAUACUGGUUGGCUUGAAUCCGGGAGAGGGAUGUGGAAUUCCAGGUGUAGCGGUGAAAUGCGUAGAUAUCGAGAGGAACACCUGCGGCGAAGGCGGGUUGCUGGGCUGACACUGACGCUGAGGCGCGAAAGCUAGGGGAGCGAACGGG